rnacentral:rRNA from 1 species
GGACUACUGGGGUAUCUAAUCCCGUUUGCUCCCCUAGCUUUCGCGCCUCAGCGUCAGAAGAGGUCCAGUACGUCGCUUUCGCCACCGGCGUUCCUUCUGAUAUCAACGCAUUUCACCGCUCCACCAGAAGUUCCACAUACCCCUACCUCCCUCGAGCUCGCCAGUAUCAAAGGCACUUCCGCAGUUAAGCUGCGGGAUUUCACCACUGACUUGGCAAGCCGCCUACGCGCCCUUUAAGCCCAGUGAUUCCGAACAACGUUCGCACGGUUCGUCUUACCGCGGCUGCUGGCAC